CAGUCGUGUUCAUUGGUUUCAGCGGGUUCUGCCCGUGUAUUACCUUUGAACGGGUCAACAUCGGUUAGAUUGGGUGCAGAAAGGCGUUGGGAAGGUAGCACCCUCGGGUGUGUUAUAGCCCGGCGUCAUAUACACUCGACCUGACCGAGGCUUGCGGUGUGCCUCUUUGAGGCGGUCUCUUUGGACCCCCACACCCUGGGGGUGUUGGCAAAAUGGCUUUAAGCGACCCGUCUUGAAACACGGACCAAGGAGUCUAACAUAUAUGCGAGUG
rnacentral:rRNA from 1 species